CUUCACUUUUCAGAGCACGAGUUGUCAGACUGGCAAGCAUGGCUGACAAAGAGGGGCGUGUGAGUAACGGUGGAGCGGCUGCUCCAGCACGAAAGAAGAGACAGGGUAAACGCAAAAAAAGAGGGAAGACGGAUCCUGUUGGGGGCCAGAGUAAGGAGAUUUCUACAUCAUUGGACAAUGAUCUCCAUAAAGAAAGCCUGUAUAGUAAAGCACAUGGUGAAGGUGAUGCAGCAAACUUAGUGUCCCCAAAGGUAAGCCUUGAGUCUGUUCAACCGCUUAUUACUGUCACUGGAACAACUGAGAUUAAAGAACAUGGCAAUAAUCACCACCCUGUUGAAGAAGUUGGUGCAGGUGGUCUUGUCACCAUGGGUACGAAUGCAACUGAUGAAGAAAAAGACAAGGGCAUAGUUGAAAAGAAUGUCAUGAAAAUAGAGAAUAAUACUUCAAUAGAUGAAGUAAGUUCUGUUGAUGAUGUUGCUAUGGUUACUACCAAUGGAUGUGAUGUUAGAGCAGUCAGCGAUGCACAGCAAGUGAGAUGUGGGCAUGAUGAUCAAGUGGUUCCAGUUGUGGUUGAGGUGCCACCCACACCUGAUGAAGUGAGUGAGGAUAUUCCAAGUGAUGGUAUAACAGAUUUACAUUCACAGCCGUUAGAUAUGGUUUCCCCCGUUAUAAAAGACACUAGCGACCUUGAAGACCCUAUGAAUCUGAUGUGUGCCACAGACAAAUUAUUGGAAGAAGCCGGAAUACGCCAAAUUGUUGGUGACUCGAUGUCGCCUCUACCGGUUCAUCUACAAGAUAGAAUAGCUGCUUUCCCGGUUUCACCAUUAUCCGCUGAUCUCCUGGAAGAAGCAGGUGUCCUCACUGAAAAUACUUCUGCAGAGACCAUGCUUGCUACUCCAAAGGCAAGAAAAUGUAUGAUGGACAUCGAAGCUGAGAACAAAUGGUCCAAGACAACAUUGCUGUUUGAAAGUGAACAAUCCAAUAUGGCCAGGGAGGGGGUGAUAUUUGAUGGAAGCAUAGAAGUUGAAGUGAUGCCUAAUACAGAGUACACAGAAUCUGCUAUGAAGAGUACUCCACCAGAAGUUGCCAUGCCAACAGAUAGCGAGAAAACCUAAAUUUGACGCAUCAAGUACUGGCUGAAGAGCAGACAGUUUCUCACUCGCCCCCCAUGAUGGAUGUAUCACCACAGCCUUUUCUUGAAAGCACGUCAUCAGUGUCCUCUAACAUCCCAGUAGAUGCUUUGCAACCAACGUUGACCCCAGUCUUGCAAGCCACGGUCGGAAGAUACAAGACCCCUGAACAUUUACUUGAGGAUGGCCCAGCUACACCUGCCGUCAUUGAUCACAUUAUACUUCAGAAGGAUGGCUACAAUGCUGAAGUUGUUUUGACAACUCCUAACACAGAAAUUAAAAUAAAUGAGAAGUCGCCAUUGGUAACUACAGAUAAACCGGUGGAAUUUCUACAAGAAGUGAUAGCAGAGUCAGACCAAGAAGACCAAGAGAAGUUGAUCCAACCAAAUAAGAUGAAUUAUGAUGAUGAUGAUGAGGUGACUUUCAAACCUGAUAGAUCGAGAGAGGUGAAGUCCGAGGAUAAAACCCCAAUUUCAGUUACAGAAGCAAGAGCCUCCGAGCAAGCACCACUCUUGGGAGCAGAAAAUCAAAUUACUGAUGAAAAUAAAUUAGGUCCAUCAUCGGGAUGCUGUAGUGGGUGUGCCAUAUUGUAAAUUCAUGUAGGAUUUUAUUACCCAAUCAAUUAGACACAUUGUUCCUAGUAAUAUUAUAUUCCAUACAAACUCGUAUUAAUUCCCACGUAUUUUCGUCUGAUUGGUUAAUUAACACAAUACUAAUUAUCAUACUUAUAAGUACGAACCAUUAAGUAUUAUGCAACUUUCAAACAUCUUUAGGGUUGAUCUGAUAUUUCACAUAGUAUCAUUUUUUUCUUUUUUGUAAAAUAUGUUUAGUAUUGAGGGUACUGUAAAUGCAUUAAUUAAUCACUGGGUUUUAAUUUUGCUAUUUUCACAGAUAAGUAAAAUCAGAUAAAAUUAAAUGUGUGUGAACAUUAAGAAAAACAACAGAACUCAUUGUUACUCAGCCAAGUUCACAAACUUAAAACCUGUGAAAUUGUUGAUAACACCAAAAUAGUGAAAUUAGAUGCCAGUGAAAAUAAAUGGUUUUACAGUAUGGUUUAAUUCAGUUGUUGCAGUGUAAAUAUUAUGAAUGAUUUGAUAAUAUUAGAAUUUAUUCAAUUUAAAAAUGCUCCACCUUGUUAUAGUGGUACGAAAUAUGGAAUGUGGUUUUGCUAGACUUUCUGAAUGCAUUUACUAGUACUAUGAGGUAUCUUCGUAAUAACCUUAUUAUUAUACAUCUUUUAUUUAUAACUUUGUCUUCAGUGAAAAUAUGCAUUAUACAUUAACUUUGCAGAUUUGCAAGACAACUUUUGUUGGUUGCUUGCUGAGACUUGAUGGUCUUCUUUUGUUGCAUGCUUGGUAACUUAGAACUUGAUCUUCUUAGUGUGCGACUCCGGUGGCUUAUGUUUUGUCAGUCAGAUUGUCGUUUUGGCUCAUAACAUAUUUUGUCAGUCAUAAUGUCGUUUUGCAUAUUAACUCACUACAAUUCACUGCCAGUUUUGUAUCAUACAAUUUACACUGCCUUGUUAUUUCUUUCAGACCCCCUAGUGUGUAUUUAUUUCUACUUUGUAUUUUGGGAGAGUGACCAUGUUUUGUUUUGUUUUGCAUUUGUUAUUCAUACUCCAAUCCUAGUGGCAAAAAUUCCCCCCCCAAAAAAGAGAAAAUUAUAUAAAAAAUAUAUUGUGGCAGUGUUUCCCUCUUUUAUUUUUUGUGAUAUUAGUCAUUUGAAUAAUAGAUUCACAAUGGCAUAGCUUGGCUUAUAGAAAGUGAGUGCAUUUUAGUAGUAAUUCUAGUAUGCAAGUUAAAUAGUAAGUCACUUUUAGCAAAAGCUAUUCAGCAAAUGGGUGAGGGAAACGAUACGACUUUGCAGAUAUUAAUUCAUAUUGAAGGUAUUGUACACCAUUGAAAUGGUCAUUGAAGUGUACUAUCUCAUGGAUAACAUGAAAAAAAAAAAAAUGGUCUCGUGUGCUGUAUAAAUGCCAUUGUGUGAGAAAUUCCAUCCAAGUACGGUACAUAUAAGUUUAGUAUAAAUUAUCUGAGAAUUCUGUUUCUGAAUUAUAUUUAUACUUUGUACAAAUAAAAUUUUUCUGCUCC
rnacentral:misc_RNA from 1 species